GGUGUUGCGAUAAUUAAAAAAAAUUCUUCGUUCUGAAUGCCAUGGCAUGAAAGACCCUUUUUACAUCCCAUAGAAUAUGAGCAACA
rfam:Capsicum annuum cultivar Zunla-1 chromosome 11, whole genome shotgun sequence